rnacentral:rRNA from 1 species
UACGUAGGGUGCGAGCGUUGUCCGGAAUUAUUGGGCGUAAAGAGCUCGUAGGCGGUUUGUCGCGUCGGCCGUGAAAACUUGGGGCUUAACCCCAAGCCUGCGGUCGAUACGGGCAGACUUGAGUUCGGCAGGGGAGACUGGAAUUCCUGGUGUAGCGGUGAAAUGCGCAGAUAUCAGGAGGAACACCGGUGGCGAAGGCGGAUCUCUGGGCCUUACCUGACGCUCAGGCGCGAAAGCUAGGGGAGCGAACUGG